rnacentral:rRNA from 1 species
CGAAGGGGGCUAGCGUUGCUCGGAAUUACUGGGCGUAAAGGGAGCGUAGGCGGAUAGUUUAGUCAGAGGUGAAAGCCCAGGGCUCAACCUUGGAAUUGCCUUUGAUACUGGCUAUCUUGAGUACGGAAGAGGUAUGUGGAACUCCGAGUGUAGAGGUGAAAUUCGUAGAUAUUCGGAAGAACACCAGUGGCGAAGGCGACAUACUGGUCCGUUACUGACGCUGAGGCUCGAAAGCGUGGGGAGCAAACAGGAUUAGAUACCCUGGUAGCCCACGCUGUAAACGAUGAGUGCUAGUUGUCGGCAGGCAUGCCUGUCGGUGACGCAGCUAACGCAUUAAGCACUCCGCCUGGGGAGUACGGUCGCAAGAUUA